rnacentral:ribozyme from 1 species
UUCUUGCAAGUAUGAAAGUGCUCGUUUUGAACCGUUUGCUUUUUUGCAGCUGCCUCUUCCGGAGGAUGAUCAGAUCUCGGUACAAUUGAUUCUUUAUCCCAUACAAGAUGAACGGGCUGUCAUGAAAUACUCAGUCCGUGUGCGCCACGAUGGUA